rnacentral:lncRNA from 1 species
CGACCACCCAAGGGCUGAGGAGUGCGGGCGCAAGGCACCGGGACUUGCAGGCGGCUCCACCUGCAGCCCCGGUGCGGGAUCCACUGGGUGAAGCCAGCUGGGCUCCUGAGUCUGGUGGGGAUGUGGAGAACCUUUGUGUCUAGCUCAGGGAUUGUAAACGCACCAAUCAGCGCCCUGUCAAAACAGACCACUCGGCUCUACCAAUCAGCAGGAUGUGGAUGGGGCCAGAUAUAAAAGCAGGCUGCCCGAGCUAGCAGUGGCAACCGGCUCGGGUCUCCUUACGCACUGUGGAAGCUUUGUUCCUUCGCUCUUUGCAAUAAAUCUUGCUACUGCUCACACUUUGGGUCCACACUGCCUUUAUGAGCUGUAACACUCACCGGGAAGGCCUGCAGCUUCACUCCUGAGCCAGCGAGACCACGAGCCCACCAGGAGGAACGAACAACUCCAGAGGCGCCGCCUUAAGAGCUGUAACCCGGCAAAGGUCUGCAGCUUCACUCCUGAGCCAGGGAGACCACGAACCCACCAGAAGGAAGAAACUCCAAACACAUCCGAACAUCAGAAGGAACAAACUCCAGACGCGCCACCUUAAGAGCUGUAACACUCACUGGGAGGGUCCGCGGCUUCAUUCUUGAAGUCAGUGAGACCAAGAACCCACCAAUUCCGGACACAUAACCACUAUGCUAGACCAGAUACAGGAAAUCUUCAUAACCUCAGGAAGUUCUCCUGUGCCUCUUUGCAGUCACUUCCUCUCCGUGUCUUCCUCCCACCCCCGCCAUCUGAGGCAACCACAACUGGAAUUUCUAUCAUAUUGUGUUAAAUUACUACUUCUAGAAAUUCAUGUAAAUGAAAUCAACCAGAAUGUGAUGUUUUCAGAAUACCUGAAACUAAGCAAUGGAUAAAGAAGAAAAACGUAUUUCAUGUAAUUCUGGAGGCUUGGGAAAUCAAGGUCAAGAGGGAACAUCUGGUGAGAGCCUUCUUGCUGAUAUAUGAUCUCUGGUUGUUUUGUGAUCCCAGGAUCUACUGAGAUGUAUAGCAUAAGAAGUUAUACACAUCCUGGAUUUUGGGUGAUAAAAGUACUUCUUCCAUGAAAUUGCUGGGGGUUAAGUGAGAUAACAAAAGAAGAAAAACAGGUCCUCACUGCCCUAUAGGACAAACCAGAACACGACGGCCAGGAUUCAGCUCCUAACCAAUCAAAUAGAGGAUUCAAAAAUACCCAAUCAAGAGGAGGAUUGAAAAACAGACUCUUCUGAAUGGACAAAGGGAGAAUAUGGGAGGGAACAACAUGGGAAUAUAAGUCAGACUAGCAACGGCACCCUCUUCCGGGUCCCCUUCCACCACGUGGAAGCUUUACUUUUGGUUUGCUCAAUAAACUGCGCUGCUGCACACU